GUUGCUUUUUGCUGAGAGCGGCGGACGGGUGAGUAAUGUAUGGGGAUCUGCCCGAUAGAGGGGGAUAACUACUGGAAACGGUGGCUAAUACCGCAUGACGUCUACGGACCAAAGCAGGGGCUCUUCGGACCUUGCGCUAUCGGAUGAACCCAUAUGGGAUUAGCUAGUAGGUGAGGUAAUGGCUCACCUAGGCAACGAUCUCUAGCUGGUCUGAGAGGAUGAUCAGCCACACUGGGGCUGAGACACGGCCCAGACUCCUACGGGAGGCAGCAGUGGGGAAUAUUGCACAAUGGGCGCAAGCCUGAUGCAGCCAUGCCGCGUGUAUGAAGAAGGCCUUAGGGUUGUAAAGUACUUUCAGCGGGGAGGAAGGUGAUAAAGUUAAUACCUUUAUCAAUUGACGUUACCCGCAGAAGAAGCACCGGCUAACUCCGUGCCAGCAGCCGCGGUAAUACGGAGGGUGCAAGCGUUAAUCGGAAUUACUGGGCGUAAAGCGCACGCAGGCGGUCAAUUAAGUCAGAUGUGAAAGCCCCGAGCUUAACUUGGGAAUUGCAUCUGAAACUGGUUGGCUAGAGUCUUGUAGAGGGGGGUAGAAUUCCACGUGUAGCGGUGAAAUGCGUAGAGAUGUGGAGGAAUACCGGUGGCGAAAGCGGCCCCCUGGACAAAGACUGACGCUCAGGUGCGAAAGCGUGGGGAGCAAA
rnacentral:rRNA from 1 species